rnacentral:tRNA from 1 species
CAAAAGUUAGCUCAUUAGGUAGAGCAGUUGACUAUUAAUCAACGUGUAACAGGUUCGAUUCCUGUACUUUUCACCA